GAAUCAUCAGCAUCCUUCUCCUAUCCAGAAAAAGAAACGAAGUCUUUUAUAAAUAAUAUAGCUAUGGCUUCCUCCGCUUUCACCCUUGCUUUGCCCAGCUUAGGGUCAUCUCCAUCACCCUUCAACGGUCGUGCUCAUGUUGGACUUCCUCCCGUUCUUAAAGCUCGCAAAACCCCGAUCGUCAGCUCAUCCAAACUUCACAGUACCCUCAAGAAACAUGAGGUUGUUGACUCGGAGAGAGGUGAUGCCGGCAUUCCUCCCUUCUGGUUAACCCUCGUUGGCAAGCAGCGCACUGAUGUUUUCAACUCGAAGCUAGGUGAUGCUGGCCUUCCUCCCAUGUGGGUGGAGGUUUUUGGCUCAGAGAGAGGUGAUGCCGGCAUUCCUCCCUUCUGGUUAACCCUCAUCGGCAAACAUGCUGGUCAGAUUGUUGACUCAACCAGCGUUAACACCUGACUGAGCCUUGAUAGUAGCCCCCUUCGGCUAAAAGCUAGUCAAGGUUCUUUGUCUUGGCAAAAAAAUAAAAUAAAAAAGUAAAGGUUUAUAAUAAAAAUAAUAAUAAUGAGAUAGCAAUAAGGAUUAAGCAGUCAUAUCCAGAGUAUCUCACAUCGAUCCUUUACUGUCUGUAGCCGCCAUCUGUCGGCACUGUAUACAUAAAUAAAUUUUGUUAUGACAAAGGCAGACCAGUGCGUGGCUAUAUGCCACGGUUUCAUGUGUUACCACACGUCCACACAUUAUAUAUGGACGGAGGAGGACCAUUCAUAACAAAUUGACUAACAGGCAUGGCCAACCACAGCAUCCACCCAGUUGCUGAUCAUUU
rnacentral:lncRNA from 1 species